rnacentral:rRNA from 1 species
UGAACAGCAGUUGGACACGGGUUAGUCGAUCCUAAGCCAUAGGGAAACUCCGUUUUAAAGUGCGCUCUCGGGCGCCGCCUGGCGAAAGGGAAACCGGUUAAUAUUCCGGUACCUCGAUGUGGAUUAUCCGCGGCAACGCAACUGAAGGUGGAGACGUCGGCGGGGGCCCCGGGAAGAGUUCUCUUUUCUUCUUAACUGUCUAUCACCCUGAAAUCGGUUUGUCCGGAGCUAGGGUUU